rnacentral:lncRNA from 1 species
AUUAUGUGGUAUCUAAUUAGAAGACACAUUCUUAUGUUCACCCUACUGGUCUAUAAGGAUGCAUUAUGAUACUUGUGCCCAAUAUUAGUGAGCAAUGAGAGGCUUCAGCAUAUACAGCAAUCGGGAAAUUGGAGCCCUGUUCAUCAUGAAGUAGAAGAGGUUUCAGAAGGCAGGUAUUUUUUUUCCUCCAUGCAUUUCAAGAUGCUCAACUUCACAUCCGAUCCACUCUCCUAACUACUUCACAUGUGUUUUGCAAGUAACUUUAGAAAAGGAAGAUUUCAUGAUUGGAUUGAAGAUGGAGGAUAGUAAGACACUCAGAGAUGAUGAGGUUUGUCCUACAUCCCCAGUCCCUGUUAAUCAGUGAAGCAAAAAAUAUAAUGCUUUUUGCCUGUAAUUUUCAUUUCUUUGUGUUUUAGAUUCUAUCUAGCAUCUAAUAUCUAAUUUUUAUCUAAUUCUAUCUAGUAUCACUUUUUCUUGUACCUGAAGAAUUUGUUUUAACGUUUCUUGUAACAGGCAUCAGACAGUAUUGCAUUAUAUUAGCUUUUGACUGUAAAAGCAUUUGUUGUAGGAUAUGGAAUUUAAUUAAUUAAUCAGCUAGUUAAUUUUUGAAGGUGGGGGGGAGAGAGAUUGACAGACAGACGGGGAGAGACAGAGAAUGAUCCAAUGGUUCAUUCCCCUAAUGCUAGUAAUUGCCCUGGGUUGGGUCAGGCUGAAGCCAGGAGCCUUAAUGCAAUCCAGGUUGGCCCACUGAGUCAUCUCCUGCUGUCUCCCAGGCUGUGCUUGAGCAGAAAGCUAUAAUCAGAAGCAAAGCUGGGACUUGAAUGUAGGAGCUCUGAUAUGGAAUGCCAGCAUCCAAAGCAGCAUCUGAACCACUAUGCCAAAUGGCUACCCUGGACACAGAAUUUUGGUUGGAAUUCAAGUGCCUUGGAUUCUCAGUCCCAACUUCAUCUUCUUAAUUCAGGCAGACCACUGGGAUCUGCCUGCCUUUUACCUCCCUAAACUGUGGAAUGGCAACACUCCUCAGGUAGUGGUGUGGAGCUAUCAGAAGUCUCUCUUUGUUUUUCCUUUCUCAGACAAUUUAUUAUCCUACAUCAACUGAUGAGCAGGUCAUACCUUGGUGUAUAAGGACUGUUUGUAUUUAGCCAAACAGAAGCAAUGUUGCAGAUAAAAUAGUUGUUAUGAUAUCAAGGAGUCAAAUACUGUAAGUUUCAAGGUAUCUAUUGUUCCUAUCAGAAUUGGUCAAGUUAUCUGAUUAUUCAGCGUCUGUCUGUUAUGUUUCACUCAGUCAGUCACAACAGUGGUCAUUGAAGCUGAAAUAACAUACACUAUGGGAGUUUUUCUUACAGCUUUAGUUUCUUGAAAAUAUGCUGUUUGGAAGUAAGAAUUAUCCUAAAUACCUACAUUAGCAACUUCAAAUUGGUAUUAAAAAUGUAACAUCUGUUAUUCAUACAGAGAAAUACAGAGUAAUCUGCAAUUUUUAUAUUUUUGCAUUCAUUUGAAUCUGAAUUCCUUAUAAUAAAAUAUCCUAAUUAACCUGCCA